rnacentral:rRNA from 3 species
CAGGGGCGGGUGCUAUAAUGCAAGUCGAGCGGACAGAUGGGAGCUUGCUCCCUGAUGUUAGCGGCGGACGGGUGAGUAACACGUGGGUAACCUGCCUGUAAGACUGGGAUAACUCCGGGAAACCGGGGCUAAUACCGGAUGCUUGUUUGAACCGCAUGGUUCAAACAUAAAAGGUGGCUUCGGCUACCACUUACAGAUGGACCCGCGGCGCAUUAGCUAGUUGGUGAGGUAAUGGCUCACCAAGGCGACGAUGCGUAGCCGACCUGAGAGGGUGAUCGGCCACACUGGGACUGAGACACGGCCCAGACUCCUACGGGAGGCAGCAGUAGGGAAUCUUCCGCAAUGGACGAAAGUCUGACGGAGCAACGCCGCGUGAGUGAUGAAGGUUUUCGGAUCGUAAAGCUCUGUUGUUAGGGAAGAACAAGUACCGUUCGAAUAGGGCGGUACCUUGACGGUACCUAACCAGAAAGCCACGGCUAACUACGUGCCAGCAGCCGCGGUAAUACGUAGGUGGCAAGCGUUGUCCGGAAUUAUUGGGCGUAAAGGGCUCGCAGGCGGUUUCUUAAGUCUGAUGUGAAAGCCCCCGGCUCAACCGGGGAGGGUCAUUGGAAACUGGGGAACUUGAGUGCAGAAGAGGAGAGUGGAAUUCCACGUGUAGCGGUGAAAUGCGUAGAGAUGUGGAGGAACACCAGUGGCGAAGGCGACUCUCUGGUCUGUAACUGACGCUGAGGAGCGAAAGCGUGGGGAGCGAACAGGAUUAGAUACCCUGGUAGUCCACGCCGUAAACGAUGAGUGCUAAGUGUUAGGGGGUUUCCGCCCCUUAGUGCUGCAGCUAACGCAUUAAGCACUCCGCCUGGGGAGUACGGUCGCAAGACUGAAACUCAAAGGAAUUGACGGGGGCCCGCACAAGCGGUGGAGCAUGUGGUUUAUUCGAAGCAACGCGAAGAACCUUACCAGGUCUUGACAUCCUCUGACAAUCCUAGAGAUAGGACGUCCCCUUCGGGGGCAGAGUGACAGGUGGUGCAUGGGUUGUCGUCAGCCCGUGUCGUG